UUACGACCCUACCACGUUGAAACACCGGUUCCUGUACGAUCACUGAAGUUAAACAACGUCGAGCCUGGUCAGUACCAAGAUGGGUGACCGUUUGGGAAUACCAGGUGCUGUAA